UUCCUUCAUUUGUGCAGUGGUGCAAUAGAGAGCUUUUCUCCCCCCAUUUCUUUCUCCCACCCUAAAAAAUCCCAGGGUGCAGCUUCCCACUGAUAGUAGGAUGGUGUCCUGCAGGUGACAAACCACUUUUAAUGCAGCCAACGAAGUUCUAUCUGCAUCAGGCCCUCUCUGCUCACAUAAGCACAGGGGACAUGGUCCCUCCUCCCCUCCAUUCUUGUUUCAUUAAUGUAUGUGGUUAUAAAAAGUGAAAGAAUUAUUGUUUACUUUUUGCACUUCACCAAGUUUGGAUAUGACAAUAAACUAGCCAGUUUCACUUUCUGUUCUCUUGGCCCAGUACAAUGCUGUAAGGUUUGAGUUGCAAACCUUGCAAGGGUCUGUUUAAAUACAAACAAACUGUUCUAAUUUGUCAAGUAUCAGAGAGGUAGCCGUGGUAGUCUGGAUCUGUAAAAAGCGACAAUGAGUCCUGUGGCACCUGAUAGACUAACAGAUGUAUUGGAGCAUAAGCUUGCAUGGGUGAAUACCCACUUCGUAUUCUAAUUUGCGGUGUUUUUUAAUUCAUGAAAACAUAUUCAUUUUAGGUUUUGUAACUUAGGUCUUGUUAAAAUUGUUCUAUUACGUUUGUAUAAACCCUUCAAAACAAUUUUUAUUCUAAAAUGUACACUUAACCCAAAAUAUUCCCUCUCUGUUUUAAUAUAUCUGCAUUAAGAGUAGGUGAAAUCCUAAUUAACAUGUAUGGUCUCUUUGGGUCUGAAAAUACAAAUGCAUACUAUUGGACGCAGUGUUUGACUUCAACAAGGCUACUUAUGGUAAUUUGCACUACCCCAAUAGCAUGUUUGAGUUUAGGGGCCUAAGCCACGUUUUUCAGAAAUGGGUGCUAAAUCCAUAUUUAGUCAUUAAAAUCAGUGGAAGCUUCCAGGUGCUCAGCACUUUUGAAAAUCAAGCAACUUAUUUAAGUACCUAAAUGUGAUUUUUAGCAGUCUUAGGGCAAGUCUACACUAUGGCACUACAUUGGCUGUAGCGCAUCUGGUGAAGACACACUAUACAGAUGGGAGAGCACUCUCCAGUUGGCAUAAUUACUCCACCUUGGCGAGAAGCAGAAGCUGUGUCGCUUGCCGGGAGACUUUUUCACAUUCCUGAGCAAUAAAAUCAACCAAAGAAGAUGAAGGCCAAUAAAGGAAAAACCUGCACUAGAGAGAGAGAGUUUUUAUAUAAAUUCAAUGCUGGAAAUCAGCGCUUAGUGCUUACAGUGCCUCUCAAAUUUCCUGUGCAAGAAAAUGCCAAUCACUUGCAUGGACGUCUAAUGCUCCUGCACAAUUUACCCUGCUUCAUAGAAAAUGACUUAAAGCAAUCUCUUAGUCAGUUCAUAGAAGGAGAAUCCAUAAAAGAUUAUGAUAAAGAAGCAGAGGCGGCCCUGGAAGCUGUGAAAUCAGGAGAAGUGGACAUACACCAGCUGGCAAAUGCUUGGGCUAAAGCUUAUACAGAGACAACAUUAGAACAUGCAAGACCUGAAGAACCCAGCUGGGAUGAAGAUUUUGCAGAUGUGUACCAUGAUCUGAUACACUCUCCAGCUUCUGAAACUCUGUUAAACCUGGAACACAAUUAUUUUGUUAGCAUCUCAGAAUUAAUAAGUGAAAGAGACGUGGAACUGAAAAAAUUACGAGAGAGACAAGGAGCAGAAAUGGAUAAGGUGAUGCAAGAACUAGGAAAGUCGCUAACAGAUCAAGAUGUAAAUGCGUUGGCUGCUCAGCAUUUUGAAUCCCAACAGGUUUUGGAGAAUAAAUGGACCAGUGAACUAAAACAGUCCACCGCCAUCCAAAAACAGGAGUAUCAGGAAUGGGUGAUAAAACUUCAUCAAGAUCUAAAAAAUCCCAACAACAGCUCAAUCAGUGAGGAAAUUAAGGUUCAACCCAGUCAGCUGAGAGAAUCUGUAGAAGGCAAUGGAAGAAUUUAUGAAGAGCAGAGACAGUUAGAAGAAAGUUUUACUAUUCAUUUGGGAGCCCAGUUGAAAACUAUGCAUAAUUUGAGAUUAUUGAGAGCUGAUAUACUGGACUUCUGUAAACACAAACGCAAUCACCGAAGUGGAGUAAAGCUUCACAGACUUCAAACUGCAUUGUCACUCUAUUCAACUUCUCUUUGUGGCCUGGUUUUAUUGGUAGACAACCGAAUCAGUUCAUACAGUGGCAUCAAAAGAGAUUUUGCAACAGUUUGCCAAGAAUGCACAGAUUUCCAUUUUCCUGGGAUUCAAGAGCAGCUUGAAAUUGUGCAGCAGGUUGUACUUUAUGCUAGAGCACAGCGCAGCAGUAAGUCAAAAAGACAGCAUGGUCAGUGUCAAGAUUCAGUAAACAGAAAUGGUGGAAAUGAAGAUAAGUCCAAGAAUAUUGAACGAAACCAAUCAAAUAUUUUGCCUGGAGAAUUUUACAUCACACGCCAUUCAAAUCUUUCUGAAAUUCAUGUUGCUUUUCAUCUGUGUGUGGAUGAUAAUGUAAGGUCUGGUAACAUUACUGCUCGGGAUCCUGCGAUCAUGGGCCUCAGAAAUAUUCUCAAAGUUUGCUGUACACAUGAUAUUACUACAAUUAGCAUCCCUCUUCUACUGGUACACGAUAUGUCAGAGGCUUCAUGAUGGAAAUGGCUUCAUGGGAUGGAGGAAUUUCUCGGACCGUACAAUUUCUGGUACCGCAGACUAUAUCUGAGGAAAUGUUUUAUCAGCUGAGUAAUAUGCUCCCCCAGAUCUUUCGAGUGUCCUCUACGCUGACUCUGACA